AACGCGAAGAACCUUACCUAGACUUGACAUCUCCUGCAUUACUCUUAAUCGAGGAAGUCCCUUCGGGGACAGGAUGACAGGUGGUGCAUGGUUGUCGUCAGCUCGUGUCGUGAGAUGUUGGGUUAAGUCCCGCAACGAGCGCAACCCUUAUUGUUAGUUGCCAUCAUUAAGUUGGGCACUCUAGCGAGACUGCCCGGGUUAACCGGGAGGAAGGUGGGGAUGACGUCAAAUCAUCAUGCCCCUUAUGUCUAGGGCUACACACGUGCUACAAUGGUCGGUACAAUAAGACGCAAGCCCGCGAGGGGGAGCAAAACUGGAAAACCGAUCUCAGUUCGGAUUGUAGGCUGAAACUCGCCUACAUGAAGCUGGAGUUGCUAGUAAUCGCGAAUCAGCAUGCCACGGUGAAUACGUUCCCGGGUCUUGUACACACGC
rnacentral:rRNA from 1 species